UACAGAGGGGGCAAGCGUUGUUCGGAAUUACUGGGCGUAAAGGGCGCGUAGGCGGCCUUCUAAGUCGAACGUGAAAUCCCCGGGCUCAACCCGGGAACUGCGUCCGAUACUGGAAGGCUUGAAUCCGGGAGAGGGAUGUGGAAUUCCAGGUGUAGCGGUGGAAUGCGCAGAUAUCAGGAGGAACACCAAUAGCGAAGGCAGCUCGCUGGGACGUUACUGACACUGAGGCGCGAAAGCGUGGGGAGCGAACAGG
rnacentral:rRNA from 1 species